rnacentral:lncRNA from 1 species
AAGCUGAGACGUUACAUCCACAACUAUGAGGUGAAGAGAGAUAAUUGCAAUAGUGUGGGCUUUUGAAACCUCAUGGGCCACCCUCAGUGACACACCCUCUCCAGUAAGGCCACAUCUUCCUGAACAGUUCCACUAACUGGGGACCAAGUAUUGAAACAUACUAAAGUCACAUCAGAUAAGAGUUCUCUCUUGAAGACCCCAGACAAAGGAACAAAGUGGGUGGAUGAUAGGGGACACCUCGUGAACAGCCUUCCCCACACACCUCAGGGGUCUGUCUUCUUGGAGCAUGAAAGUUAUGCUUCAUUUCCUGUGUCAGAGAGGUCCCAACUCAGGCCUUGGGUCUGGGGAGAUGCCAAGGCCAGCAGUGGGUAAAUAUUUGUUCCCUCAUGCUUAUGGGCUUGGGUCCUGCUAGGUUUAGAGGCAGGGGUUGAGACUCUUAAGGCAGACUUGAGGAUCUAGGCACCUACAUCCAUUAAGGUUAGGAAUUCAGAAGCAGUAGGCCGUAAGCACUCACAUUCCUCUCAGGCAGCAUGGAUCCAGUUCUAGCCAUAUUCAGUAUGUGGGUGGAGUAGAGCUACAGCUGGUCCCUACCACACCCAGCCCAGUGUGCAGUGUCAGGGGCAAAAUCCACUUUGUGGGUCAAACGUCUAAGCUUUGCAAGGCAAGGAGUUUAGCAUCAAGAGUGGUCCAUGGCUGUCUGCCCACCCACUGCUGGGACAGAAGCAGCUCUCAGCCACAGCCACCCCCAUCAAUCAAUAUUUUUAAUUACCUUUACAUGAUUGACUAAUAAAAUUCUCCACUGACUAAUUG